CUGCCAACCACGGCUACUCACUUUUGUCAAAUAUUUUAACUACAUAUUUUUUCUCUAUGCACUAACACCAACGCAUAUUUCGGGUUAUUUUUUGUUUACCUAAAUGCGAUGAAAAAAAGUUUCUUUCAUUUCUUGAUUUAUUUGAAUGCGUGCGAAGGAGAAAACAUAAUUAUCAAUGGCGCUAAAAGAAAAUCCCAAAAAGGGUAAUAAAAAACCGAUUGAAUGACGCAUGUCAUUCGUGAUCGUACAACAAGAAGCAUUGGAAAUCAGAAUGAAUUGGAAAUAGCAGCAGCAGCAAUAUCAUCAGAAGCAGCAAAUAUCAAUUGUUAAAUGUUAUUACUAUUUUUAUUUAAUUAUUCUUUCUUUUCAGAUUUUAUCACUAUUUUUAUUUAAUUAAUCUUUGCUUUCAGAGUAAAUUCUAUUUGUAUUUAAUAUAUUUUAUUUUUUCGGAUAAUAUUAAUCUUUCUUUUUCUUUUAGAUAUUACAAAUUCAAUGUAAUUAUUAUUUAUUUUCAGGUAUCAAUAAUUUUUUUCUUUAAUAAAUCUU